CCGUAGGGUCCCCACCCUGCGCCCAGCUCCAGCUAGCCCGCCGCCGCCCACACCCCCGCGAGGCUCGUCGGGGACAGCGCCGCCGCGGCCUCCUCGGAAAAAACAGCAAGAUGCGACCGCAUGGACGAACACACUCAUUCUACCUGGAAUUAGUUAUUCCAUCAGGUACAAACAUAUUAUUUGGAGGUCAAGAUCCUAGUCAAGGUCCUGCACUCUCGUGAAGUUCUUGCCUUAUGUGCCUUAUCUCCAGCUCUGAGAAAGGAUUGGACACUACAUUGGUUAGAUUGCAGACAAGGACUAGUUGAUCUCAAGGACUGCAAGCUUCACACUCAUUUUAGUGUUUCACUGUUUCUGCUACAUAUAUAGCUUCAGCAAAUCAGCUUUGUAGUAUAUUAAUCUUCCUAUUAGGAUUUAUGAUUCGGUCUCUGUUUGUAACUGAAUUUGUUGCAAUAUUUAGCAUUUUAUAUUUUCUAUGAUGACAGUAAAUAGCAGCCUGUCUGCUUAUAGCAGCGUCUGUUGCGUGCAGUGGUUGUGAUCCUGUGCUUGGAAACAACAGU